rnacentral:sRNA from 1 species
UGGACAGGGGGGUCUCUGCCGAACGGCGGGGCCUGUCCAACAGGUUGCGCGAAUGCGUGGCCAGUGGUUGUCGCUCGGGGGUGAUCGCCG